GUCAGCUCUGCGCAAGUCUGGACGGAGCUCAGCGCUUUCCCCACUGGCAGAGUUACUGAACCAAACCUGCUUUUACUGCUUUGACGAGCAUCGAGCAUCGGCUGCAUGGAGAUUUUGAGGCCCUGGGUGCCUCUGACAUGCUCACAGGGCAAAAAAGCAUUAUUCACAAUAGCCAAGACUUGAAAGUAACCCAAGUGCCCAUCAAUGGAUGAAUGGAUACAGAAGAUGUGAUAUAUACGUAUAUAUAUGUACAAGGGAAUACUACUCAGCCAUCAAGAAAGACAAAAAUCUUCCCAUUUGCUACAACAUGGAUGGACCUUGGGGUAUUAUGCUAAGAAAAAUAAGCCAGACAGAGAAAGCUGCCUGCAAAAUCUAGAAAUUUUAACAAGACAGCCUCUCUGGGCCUCAGUUUCUGCAUCUUGCAAGGCUAAUCUCUAACGGAACAACCCGGGUCAGCAUCCCCAUGGUCUGGUGAACAGCAGGAGCGGAAAUGAGGAGACUUUCAACCUCUGGGGGUUUGCAUGGGAGCGAUGCGAGGACGGCAGCAGCUGGGAUGACCUUCUCUCCAGGGUACGCCUGAGCCCGCGGCACAAAG
rnacentral:lncRNA from 1 species